rnacentral:rRNA from 1 species
CCUGGCGGCACUAGCGCGGUGGUCCCACCUGACCCCAUGCCGAACUCAGAAGUGAACCGCCUUAGCGCCGAUGGUAGUGUGGGGUCUCCCCAUGUGAGAGUAGGGAACUGCCAGGC